ensembl:ncRNA asRNA:CR45818 antisense RNA:CR45818
AUAACUCAACUGACGCAGGAUCUGGCUAUGGAUGAAAUAUGCUUGUGGACAAAUACAUUAAGAUUAGAGCUAUGGUGUAGAUGGAAACGUGGCGGCGAUCAGUCAACGUCCUCGGUGCUGACGCCAGUGUAGAUGGGCUCCUCCUUGGCUGCACUCUCUGAUUUGGCAUCGUCGGUCUUCUCCUCGCCACCGGCGACGUCAUCCGAGUCAUCUUCCUCCUUCUUGUCACCCUCCAAGUCAGCGGCAUUGGGCACCCAGAGACCAGAGUCCACACAACGCUUCAUGUGCAGCUUGGCGACGUCCACGGGCAUGGCCGCAAUGGUCUUCUGCAGCAGCUCUACGUCGCGGGACUCGAAACAGGCCUUUAGUUCCUGCGGAGCAAAUACAUGAAAAGUUAGUCAAGUAAUUCCCAUACAGUG